rnacentral:rRNA from 1 species
UACGUAGGGUCCGAGCGUUGUCCGGAUUUAUUGGGCGUAAAGAGCUCGUAGGCGGUUCCGUAAGUCAGAUGUGAAAACUCAGGGCUCAACCCGGAGACGCCAGCUGAUACUGCGGUGACUGGAGUCUGGUAGGGGAACACGGAAUUCCUGGUGUAGCGGUGAAAUGCGCAGAUAUCAGGAGGAACACCGAUGGCGAAGGCAGUGUGCUGGGCCAGUACUGACGCUGAGGAGCGAAAGCGUGGGGAGCAAACAGG